UACGUAGGGUGCAAGCGUUGUCCGGAAUUAUUGGGCGUAAAGAGCUCGUAGGCGGUCUGUCACGUCGGCUGUGAAAACCCGAGGCUCAACCUCGGGCCUGCAGUCGAUACGGGCAGACUAGAGUUCGGUAGGGGAGACUGGAAUUCCUGGUGUAGCGGUGAAAUGCGCAGAUAUCAGGAGGAACACCGGUGGCGAAGGCGGGUCUCUGGGCCGAAACUGACGCUGAGGAGCGAAAGCGUGGGUAGCAAACAGG
rnacentral:rRNA from 1 species